AUUGAACGCUGGCGGCAGGCCUAACACAUGCAAGUCGAGCGAGCGGCGGACGGGUGAGUAAUGUCUGGGAAACUGCCUGUUGGCGGGGGAUAACUACUGGAAACGGUAGCUAAUACCGCAUACCAUCCGAUUUGCCCAAUGGGGAUUAGCUAGUAGGUGGGGUAACGGCUCACCUAGGCGACGAUCCCUAGCUGGUCUGAGAGGAUGACCAGCCACACUGGAACUGAGACACGGUCCAGACUCCUACGGGAGGAAGCAGUGGGGAAUAUUGCGCAAUGGGCGAAAGCCUGAUGCAGCCAUGCCGCGUGUGUGAAGAAGGCCUUCGGGUUGUAAAGCACUUUCAGCGGGGAGGCGUUACCCGCAGAAGAAGCACCGGCUAACUCCGUGCCAGCCGCCGCGGUAAUUC
rnacentral:rRNA from 1 species